AUUGAACGCUGGCGGCAUGCUUUACACAUGCAAGUCGAACGGCAGCGCGGGCUUCGGCCUGGCGGCGAGUGGCGAACGGGUGAGUAAUGCAUCGGAACGUGCCCAGUAGUGGGGGAUAGCCCGGCGAAAGCCGGAUUAAUACCGCAUACGACCUGAGGGUGAAAGCGGGGGACCGAAAGGCCUCGCGCUAUUGGAUCGGCCGAUGUCGGAUUAGCUAGUUGGUGGGGUAAAGGCUUACCAAGGCGACGAUCCGUAGCUGAUCUGAGAGGACGACCAGCCACACUGGGACUGAGACACGGCCCAGACUCCUACGGGAGGCAGCAGUGGGGAAUUUUGGACAAUGGGGGCAACCCUGAUCCAGCCAUGCCGCGUGCGGGAAGAAGGCCUUCGGGUUGUAAACCGCUUUUGUUCGGGAAGAAAUACUCUGGGCUAAUACCCCGGGGGGAUGACGGUACCGGAAGAAUAGGCACCGGCUAACUACGUG
rnacentral:rRNA from 1 species